UGGGGAAUAUUGCACAAUGGGCGCAAGCCUGAUGCAGCCAUGCCGCGUGUAUGAAGAAGGCCUUCGGGUUGUAAAGUACUUUCAGUCGGGAGGAAGGUGUCAAGGUUAAUAACCUUGGCAAUUGACGUUACCGACAGAAGAAGCACCGGCUAACUCCGUGCCAGCAGCCGCGGUAAUACGGAGGGUGCAAGCGUUAAUCGGAAUUACUGGGCGUAAAGCGCACGCAGGCGGUUGAUUGAGUCAGAUGUGAAAUCCCCGGGCUUAACCCGGGAAUUGCAUCUGAUACUGGUCAGCUAGAGUCUUGCAGAGGGGGGUAGAAUUCCAUGUGUAGCGGUGAAAUGCGUAGAGAUGUGGAGGAAUACCGGUGGCGAAGGCGGCCCCCUGGACAAAGACUGACGCUCAGGUGCGAAAGCGUGGGGAGCAAACAGG
rnacentral:rRNA from 1 species